rnacentral:rRNA from 1 species
GGACUACCCGGGUUUCUAAUCCUGUUUGCUCCCCUAGCUUUCGUGUUUCAGCGUCAGUAAUGGUCCAGUGAGCCGCUUUCGCCACAGGUGUUCCUCCUGAUAUCUACGCAUUUCACCGCUACACCAGGAAUUCCACUCACCUCUCCCAUACUCAAGCCCGGCAGUUUCGUGUGCAGACUUCGGGUUGAGCCCGAAGAUUUCACACACGACUUACCAAACCGCCUACACACCCUUUACGCCCAAUAAUUCCGAACAACGCUUGCCCCCCUCGUAUUACCGCGGCUGCUGGCAC